CAUCUCUCUCACAGAUGGAGAAGCUAAAGAAUGGAGUGAAUAAGAAACACUCCCAAACUUGUUUGGCUACUAUGCAAAGUUCAAGGAAACAAAGCAUUUCACUCUCAGGUUCCCUUCUGGAAGCUGAUGCUCCUACGACUGUCAAGCUGUCAGACUGCAACCCUGCUACUCCCUCAUAGCCCCAUGAUUUGAAAGCACUCACUCAGGUCUCCCCAUGCUAAAACAUCACAUUUUUGCCUUCUUACAUCACAGAUUCCUACUCCCCUUUCAGACUUCUCUGCUUUAAGAAGAAUUCCAUGUUUCUUAUCCUACCUAGUUGUUAACCAUGUAUCUGACUGCACUGGAAGCCAGUGUACCACAGCAUAUUUUCCAUCUCAACCACUGAG
rnacentral:lncRNA from 1 species